rnacentral:misc_RNA from 1 species
AAACUAUUAAGGCUAGAUAUGAUUCAGACAAGAGAGAAGAAGAAAGGCAGGAUAUAGAGUUUUUCCCUUUUUUUCCCUUCUUGGUGGAGUUGGGGGGGAGGAGGAGUGGAUUUUCUCCUGAAUUUUUUUAAUUGGUCCUUCAUCGGAUAUGUUUAGUGUUUUCUUUCAAUAGAUGGACAAAUUUGUUAAUGGUUUCCAUUGGAUUUGUCUAUUAUUUCUUUCACAAAAGUAAAUGUCAG